rnacentral:rRNA from 1 species
AAAUUGAAGAGUUUGAUCAUGGCUCAGAUUGAACGCUGGCGGCAGGCCUAACACAUGCAAGUCGAACGGUAACAGAAAGCAGCUUGCUGCUUUGCUGACGAGUGGCGGACGGGUGAGUAA